rnacentral:rRNA from 1 species
UACGUAGGGUGCGAGCGUUGUCCGGAAUUAUUGGGCGUAAAGGGCUCGUAGGCGGUUUGUCGCGUCGGGAGUGAAAACCUCGGGCUUAACUCGGGGCUUGCUUUCGAUACGGGCAGACUAGAGGUAUGCAGGGGAGAACGGAAUUCCUGGUGUAACGGUGAAAUGCGCAGAUAUCAGGAGGAACACCGGUGGCGAAGGCGGUUCUCUGGGCAUGAUCUGACGCUGAGGAGCGAAAGUGUGGGGAGCGAACAGG